UUGCCAGCCCGCUCAAGAACUUAAAGAAUGACGGGGCCCGCACAAGCGGUGGAGCAUGUGGUUAAUUCGAUGAUACGCGAGGAACCUUACCUAGGCUCAAAUGUAUGUUGACGUAUUCUGAAAGGGAUACUUCUUCGGACAAUAUACAAGGUGCUGCAUGGUUGUCGUCAGCUCGUGCCGUGAGGUGUCGGGUUAAGUCCCAUAACGAGCGCAACCCCUAUCAUUAGUUGCCAUCAGGUCAAGCUGGGGACUCUAAUGAAACUGCCUACGCAAGUAGUGAGGAAGGUGGGGAUGACGUCAAGUCAUCAUGGCCCUUACGGCCUGGGCUACACACGUGCUACAAUGGUCGGUACAAAGGGUUGCCAAGCCGCGAGGUGGAGCUAAUCCCAUAAAACCGAUCGUAGUCCGGAUCGCAGUCUGCAACUCGACUGCGUGAAGUCGGAAUCGCUAGUAAUCGUGAAUCAGAAUGUCACGGUGAAUACGUUCCCGGGCCUU
rnacentral:rRNA from 1 species